CUUGUUCCACUUAAACAGUUCGCAACAUGUAACAAUGGCAUCGGGGCAAACCUCAGGUCCAGGACCCAAGUCAGGCACAACUGAAACACACUCUAGUUUCUGUCUCUGUUUGGAAGAUUUGACCUCCAUAUGGGACAUAGUGGAGGUCAUAAUACAAGCUGCUUCAUUGUGACUAUUGGAACCAGUUCUAGAAGCUUCAACAAGAUUAGGAGAUAAUAUUGGCAGAGCAGGAGGCAAGCAAAAUAUUUCUUCUUCACGGGUUAGCACUUCUGAGAUAGAUUCCAGAUUAUCCCGACACAUACGCUCUUCAAAUUGGUGAUGGCUUGUCUCAUUUUGAUCAAUUGGCUGCAUUCCUUUACUAUCAAAUUUACAAGUGGCUUCAGAGGGUACAACUGAGCACAAAUUUCCGAGCAAA
rnacentral:lncRNA from 1 species